rnacentral:misc_RNA from 1 species
UUAUCGUUACUGCUAUUUCUUUAACAUGUUGUAUCACAUUUCAACCUGUACUUUAACUCAUGCGGCUACCGACUAUUUCUGAGUAGCGAUGGCUGGUGCAGAACGUAAAUCUCCGUCUAUAAGUGUUGCUGAAUAAUAAAAUGAAUCCAGAUAAGAAAUUGGUUAGCGACUAACUAGAUUUACAAAGUCGUUACGUUCUUAUCACAGUGCACCGCGGAAAAGCAUUUAAAAGGAAGUUCACGUCUCCUUCCCUACCGAUGUUAUAAAACUUGCCAAGAAGUGGCGUUGAAACGCGGUUCUCUAGCUUCUGAGGCAAGCACGCCAACCACUGCGCUACGGCUACUCAAUAAUAACAAUAGUCAAUAAUGAUGCUAACAAAAAUGAAACAAAGAGAGCCUUGAUGCUAUAAAAUGCUACAAAGAGAACCUCCUUCGUAAAAUAAAAUUUUAUGUCCAAAAAACUGUAAAACUGAAUUAAUAUAGAAAAAUAACUCAAAUAAGUCAAAUUUUUGUAAAUUUCUUUUUUGUUGUUUUCUUUUAGUUCUAUGAGAAUUGCCAAACCGAAAAAAAAUUUUUUUAAUUUUUACACAUUUUUGGAAGAAAUACAGGGAAAAAUAAUUUUUCGAACAUGGUUUGACUCAUGGCUAUGAAUGACCGCUAGAGAUUUCCGAAAAAAUUCUAAAGUAAGUUUAAUAUGAUGUCAAUGGUGCCAACAAAAUAGUUAUGAAGCACUUUAUAAAUAAAAUGUUAUAGUUUUUAUUUUAAGGACAAAAAACUGUAAAAAUUAAGUUCUAUAAAAUUUUUAUAAACUUUUGAAACAGGUAAACGCUGCGCGUAUGGUUUAGAGCAGAAAAAUAGUAAUUGUUUAAAAAAAAAAGAAACUUCAAAAAGUUUUUUAGGCUGACUAGUGACAAUUUUUUAAUGCUAUUGUAAAAAAAAACUCCUGUGAACAAGAUGUCAGACCUGCUGUUAUUUUAUUUUUUAAUGAAGCAUGAUAUAAACUACAAUGAUAUUAGACAAUGUCUAGUUGUUUCAAAUCGCUUAUAAUGCCAUGUUUUAUGUUUACUUUUGUUUUUACAACAUUACACUUUAACAUAACAAAAAAUAAAGUUUGAGCUUGUACGCAAACACUUCAAAAAUGACACAAAAGAAUCGUUAAAGAUUACAUUUCUAUGGUGCGUCUUAAAAAGAUCAACUUUAUGUCAGCAAAAAUUAAAAUUUUUUUCGAUGUUUUAUAUGAAAAUAUUAAAUGUUCUUCUGCUGGGUGGUAAACAAAAAAACAAAAAGUUUGUGCAUUAUCUUAAGGAAUGUACCAACUUAAAAUCUCUAGAUUUAAAUGGUUGUUUUUUAGUUUAAUUGAUUAAGUAUUCUAACUGUUUUGUUGUUAUUUUUUUUAUCUUUUUUAAAAAUCUGAGAACAA